AAUUGCUAAGCAAAAUUUUUUACUUUCCUGUAUAUAUACAUUUUUCUAUUUUACUAAUUUAUUUUGCAUAUGGAUGUUGAAUGUGUUUGUUAUUUCGACAUAACAGUCAUUGAUCCGUGAAGUUAUUUUAUAAUGUAGUUGAUUUAUGUGUUUGUGUGCCUAAUUACUUUUAUGUGUAUUCUGAUAGCUUGGUCCUCCAAAUAAAUUUCCAGGUCCAGUUAUCUAUCAGGGGGUUGCUAGAGCACAACUGAUUGUAACCUUUCUUUACUGUGUAAACAGCCCCACUAUGACACCCCCAUUUCAUAUGGCCAUCUGUCUGAAGAUUGAUGUGACACUAUUGUAGUCUUGCUAAAAGAUCUAAUUCACUUCCCAAUCAUGCAUGUUUCUUCUGAAUGUUGGUCCCAAUUGUUCUCUUCUUUAUUAGCAGAGAUUAUAGAGUCAGGAUCUUGAGCUAUUCUAUACAAGAUAGGGAAGUCAUCCUGAAAAGUGGUACUUCCAAGUCAUUUGUCCUUCCAGAAUCUUAGAAGUGAGCCAUUACCCACCUAGAAGUGAGUCUGUUGAACAAAAGUGUCCCAUAAUUUUCUAAUACCACUCCAAAGACCUAAUCCAUAAGGGAGAGUGGAAAUCUCUGACCACCAGUGAUCCAUCACUCCAUGUUUGGCUAUGACAACUUCAUUCCAGAACCCUGCAUCCUUCAAAUUAGAUCUCCAAAGCCACCUAAUCAUCAUGUUUUUGUUAUGAGCUAUAAGAUCCUUGAUUCCAGGACCUCCUUAAUUUUUUGGCUGAGUCACCUUCUUCCACUUGAUGAGAUAAAAUUUGUGGUCCUCUUCAUUAUUGGGGCUUUAAGCGCAAAGGGUUUUAAUGAAAAAGGCACAAAGGGAGAAAAAAAUACAAAUAUAUGUAUGUUAGUCCAAGACUAAUAAUUUAAGUAUGAAUGACAAAUAUAUGAACAAAAAAUUGAAAAAGAUAUAUGAUAAAAUGAUCAAUUUUUAGUGCCAUCUCUUCAAAAGAGGUUUAUUGACAGUGAAUAAUAUGUCUUAGAACCUUGAUGAUGACACUGAAGCACACAUUAAGCGAGAUAAAGCGCUAAACACGUUUUGAGCCUCACUUUAGGGCUCAAGUAUGCCUUUGUCAACAUGUGGUUUUUGCAUGCUUAAGAAAGAUGUGUUUUCACUUUUAAUGGGCUUUGUUUUUUUUCUGGCUUAGCAGAAUAGGAAAUAAAAGAGACAGAGGUGUUUGUUGGUGGUUUGGCCUAUUACUACUGAAAGCAAAAUUUGUGAGCAUGGCCUGCUGAAAUUAAGGCGCGAUACGUGGAUAUGGAUACUUUAGAGACGUGUUUGCUCAAGGUUACUGUUACCGCAAAUCUAGGCAUGCUCCUUACCCCUGUUGCUAGAUAUAUCUAUAGUUUUCGGUUAGCUGGUAUUCUGCUAAUCUUAUCUUACUUCCAUAGUCGCAAAUCUGAAGGACUGGACACUAACCUCACAGUAAUUACUUUUCAAAUAUUUAUGGCCCGCUUCAUAUCUGGUUUACUCAUUGGAAUUGAUGAUUUCUUUUGUGCUGUUGGAGCUGCUAAAAUUCAUGUAUCUAGGUCAGCUUUCCUUGUUUCAACUAGGCUCAUUUUCUCGGUGGGCAUAGGGGAGCAAAUUGGUGACAAAAUUUUGUUUUGGUAUUUUUAACUAUAAGAAUCUAUUACAUGGUGAAUUUGCACAAACCAUUUCUUGUGAUGUAUUCUUUUGAGUGGACUAAAUGAUUAGCAAUGAUCUUCAAUCAAUGCUCUGGAUUGGAAAACAUAACAUGCAUCUUUAGUUAUAGAAUUGUUAUCACACAACCCUCUAAUGGAAUUGACGCGAAAGUAUGUUUCACUUUACGGUGGAUAUACUCUUUCAUUGUUGCAUUGCUCUACUUGAACCUUGAGGACGAGGUUCUUAGAAAGGAGGGAGGAUUACAGACGCAUACUCUUACAGGUUUGUUAGAUUGUUCAAUUAUAAAAUUGGAACACUCAUACUCGUUUACAGCAAUAAACUAGGCAAAUUGCAAAGUCGCUUGGAUAUAGAUCGGAGAUCAGUUUUCUAGUUGCACUCUAUUCUGUAUGUUCUUUAUUCGGGCUCCUGCUUUCAACCACCCCAAAUUUUCUUUAUGAGUAAGUAUUUAUGAGGUUCUAUCAGAAACAACCUCUCUAUAUUUAUGAGGUAAGGGGUACGAUCUGCGUAUGCUUUGCCCUUCCCAGAUCCCACUUGUGGGAUUGCACUGGGUAUGUUAUUGUUGAUGCUCUGAACUUCUUCUACUUGAAAUACAUUCAUUUUAAUCAAGACAUCAUUGGCUUACUAUCGUUGAUCGGUCCAAAUAUAUUAUUAGGGCUAAAAAAACUUACAGGUGUUGUGGAUCUUACUACUCACUUCAAGUUAUUGCCUCAUCACGAGUUCUUCUGCAAGAAACCGCUUCCAUUGUCAAUUUCAGAUACACACUAACUUCACAAUGUGGUGGAUUAAUUAUAAUCUAAAAUUUUUUCUUGUUGAACAAUUUACUAGAAUGAAUCUUCAACAAAAGAUGAUAGAUGGGAUGUGGAUCGUUAUAAUCGUCCAGAAAAGAAAAGUGCCCAUUUCUCGUCAUAGAGACUGCUUAAGGAGAAAUAUGUGAAAAAUGAAGAAACAGAGGUUAUGUGAAGAAUUUGCUGAAUAUCCUGAGACAAUAUUCCAAGAAAAUUUUGUUUCCGUUUAUCAGCUUUGAAGUGGCAUCCUGAUAAGCAUCAAAGCCCUUCACAGAUAUGAAGUCAGAAGUUAUAACACUGAGGUUGAUAUCUAGUUCAGCAAGGAAAUUGGUCGACCUUGUACUCUAUUAAGGAAUUCCGGUUCCCAGAGUCACUCCUGCAUAGAUAGGAAUGGCAGUUCUGGCAUGUGCAGGGAUGUUGGCGCUAGAUUAAAUUUUGUUAACGGUACCCAAUUUCUGUCAUCUGUAGAAAGCAUAGUUGACCUCAAAUCUAGGCUGAAAUCAAGUAUGUUUUCUUAUCUUCUCCCUUUCUAGUAGAGAAUAGUCUCUCUUUCUCAUAUUGAACUCUUCUGGAAUAGAAACAUAAGGAAAUUAGAGAUUGCACCCAAUACAAUUGGUCAAUUUAAGGAUGUUCCUCGAAGUUGAGUGCAUCAUAACUUACAAACCAUAUUAUACACUAAUUGGAGUGUCGUUGGUAUGCCUCAAACUUUGAGUUUGCUGCUACCAAAUGCCGGCAACUUCAACUGUAAGAGUCGCCAUAGAGUUUUCGACUCUUUGCUAUUGGGAAAGAAGUGAAACAGAAUUUCAGCAACCUCUCUACUAUAUGAAAGGUAUCCUAUAUCUCAGUUUUUCUCAAGUUUCUGUAAAUCUUCUAGAAAUAAUAUCAUCACAAACAUGUGAAAACUCUUCGGGUAUUGAAGUCAUUGAGAUCUCUGCGUGCAAGGAGUUAGUGUCAUGCAGGCUGGUGGAAUGGUCAUCGAUAAGCAUUUGGAGUUGAGGGCUUCUCUAUUUAAUGAUCAAAAUGUUUAAAUAGGUGUUGUUGUACAACAUUUGACCUCAUGUGCAACAGUACGUUUGUUCUUAUUAAUAUAUCGAUGUUAAAUGCCCAAUCUCAAACUUCAGAAAAAACUCAGCUUUGCACUUAAGCCAGAAUACCAUCAAGAAAAAGAAGCUCAAUUUGAGUAGUGAAACUAAUUGUCGCGAAAAUAUAUAAGAAAGCUGAAUGAAUUAUGUACGAAAACUUCUUCUUGACAUGGUUACUUCUCAUGUCCGAAAAUAUACAUGGAACUAUUGACUCUCUGUUAUGAUGGGAAAGAAGGAAGUGAAAUAAAAGGUUGGCGACCUCUGUACUAUAUUGAUAUCCUAUAUCACAGUUUUUUCAUGUUUUUGUAAAUCUUCAGGAAACAAAGUUAUCGAGAAAUUUCAAUAGAAAGUGGGAUUUUUGCAUGCAAAGAGUUUGAAUUAUGAUGUUGGGCUGUGGAACUCACGUGCACCAAGAAUCAGCCAUUGACAAUCAUUUAGAGUUGAGAUGCUUCUGUAUCUAAUAAUCAACUUGUUCGAAUAGGUGGCACCUUGAAGUCCAUUAAGUGCACAGGAUUGAUGAGCUUAACAAAGAAGAGAAGUUUGUUUCAAAGUUUGUUAUCGAGCUGCUACUCUUGUUAUUUAUUUGUCGUGAGUACAAUCACCUAGAGGGAUUGGAUCACAAAGUCUAAUGCAGGAAGCUUUGGAUAGGGAUGAAGAAUGAGUUCCUCGGAGUUAUUCAAAUGUGGUUAGAGCAGCGUAGACAUAUCACCAUGGAGUCUUCCUAAAUUGCCAAAGAGGAAUCCACUAUCCAUUUUACGUAGAGCAAAACAUAUGGAGGAACUCCCGAUAUAACAGUAAAAGCAAGAUGUGCAGCCCUUUAUGUGAGGCUAGUUGCCAAGAAAGGUGCAACUAACAAAGAACAAGAUUAUCAAAUUACUUUAAAGCAACAUGAUUUGAUUAGGCCAAUGUGAUUUGAUGAAAGUCUCAACUGAACUCUUCGUGAAUGUUAAAAGAAAUUGAGUAGAUAAGCAUUUGUGGCUAAAACUUACAAUAUGAUAGCUUCAAACUUUAAUUAAUUUGUUGAUCAUAUUCAACGUCAGUCUACUUAAAAUAUUUUUCACAUGUACAAGAUUAACACACUGACUUUAUACCUUUCGAAAAA